AGGAAUAUUGGUCAAUGGACGAGAGUCUGAACCAGCCAAGUAGCGUGAAGGAUGACUGCCCUAUGGGUUGUAAACUUCUUUUAUACGGGAAUAAAGUGGUCCACGUGUGGACUUUUGUAUGUACCGUAUGAAUAAGGAUCGGCUAACUCCGUGCCAGCAGCCGCGGUAAUACGGAGGAUCCGAGCGUUAUCCGGAUUUAUUGGGUUUAAAGGGAGCGUAGGUGGACAGUUAAGUCAGUUGUGAAAGUUUGCGGCUCAACCGUAAAAUUGCAGUUGAUACUGGCUGUCUUGAGUACAGUAGAGGUGGGCGGAAUUCGUGGUGUAGCGGUGAAAUGCUUAGAUAUCACGAAGAACUCCGAUUGCGAAGGCAGCUCACUAGACUGUUACUGACACUGAUGCUCGAAAGUGUGGGUAUCAAACAGGAUUAGAUACCCUGGUAGUCCACACAGUAAACGAUGAAUACUCGCUGUUUGCGAUAUACAGUAAGCGGCCAAGCGAAAGCAUUAAGUAUUCCACCUGGGGAGUACGCCGGCAACGGUGAAACUCAAAGGAAUUGACGGGGGCCCGCACAAGCGGAGGAACAUGUGGUUUAAUUCGAUGAUACGCGAGGAACCUUACCCGGGCUUAAAUUGCAUUUGAAUAUGUAGGAAACUAUAUAGCCGCAAGGCAAAUGUGAAGGUGCUGCAUGGUUGUCGUCAGCUCGUGCCGUGAGGUGUCGGCUUAAGUGCCAUAACGAGCGCAACCCUUAUCUUCAGUUACUAACAGGUCAUGCUGAGGACUCUGGAGAAACUGCCGUCGUAAGAUGUGAGGAAGGUGGGGAUGACGUCAAAUCAGCACGGCCCUUACGUCCGGGGCUACACACGUGUUACAAUGGGGGGUACAGAAGGCAGCUACCUGGUGACAGGAUGCUAAUCCCAAAAACCUCUCUCAGUUCGGAUCGAAGUCUGCAACCCGACUUCGUGAAGCUGGAUUCGCUAGUAAUCGCGCAUCAGCCAUGGCGCGGUGAAUACGUUCCCG
rnacentral:rRNA from 1 species